rnacentral:rRNA from 1 species
GGUCCCAAGGGUAUGGCUGUUCGCCAUUUAAAGUGGUACGCGAGCUGGGUUCAGAACGUCGUGAGACAGUUCGGUCCCUAUCUGCGGUGGGCGCUGGAGAUUUGAGAGGAUCUGUCCUUAGUACGAGAGGACCGGGACGGACGUACCUCUUGUGUACCGGUUGUCAUGCCAUUGGCAUCGCCGGGUAGCUAUGUACGGACGGGAUAACCGCUGAAAGCAUCUAAGCGGGAAACCCACCUCGAGAUGAGAUCUCCCCGGGAGUUCGACUCCCCUAAAGGUCCGUCGAAGACCACGACGUUGAUAGGCGGGAUGUGUAAGUCCGGUAACGGAUUGAGCUAACCCGUACUAAUUGGCCGUGAGGCUUGACCAUAUAACACCCAAGAUGUUUGG